GAUGAAGAACGUAGCAAAAUGCGAUACUUGGUGUGAAUUGCAGAAUCCCGUGAACCAUCGAGUUUUUGAACGCAAGUUGCGCCCGAAGCCUUUUGGCCGAGGGCACGUCUGCCUGGGCGUCACGCAUCGCGUCGCCCCCCACAAUUCUCCGUAAAGGGAACUCGUGUUUUGGGGGCGGAUAUUGGUCUCCCGUGCUCACGGCGUGGUUGGCCGAAAUAGGAGUCCCUUCGAUGGACGCACGAACUAGUGGUGGUCGUAAAAACCCUCGUCUUUUGUUUCGUGCUGUUAGUCGCAAGGGAAACUCUAAGAAAACCCCAACGUGUCGUCUUUUGACGGCGCUUCGACCGCGACCCCAGGUCAGGCGGGACUACCCGCUGAGUUUAAGCAUAUCAAUAAGCGGAGGA
rnacentral:misc_RNA from 1 species